UUAGACUCUGACCAAUGUGUGGUAGCAGCUUGUGAGUAGGAAGACGGAAGAAUCUCCAUCUCUUUUGGCAUCAUGGAACUGUCCUGCAUGGCUUACUUCCAGACUUUGUUAUGCUUUGAGAACGCUUCACAAAACACAAGAUGAAUACUAAUCUGUUUUGUUUCCUGGCAUAGAAACUGUCACAGUCCAAAUUCCCAAUAAAUGCCUUCUGGACUGAAUUCAGGUGGGAGAAAUAAAAGGAAAAUGCAAGCCGUGUUUAGGAAAUGAUUGCAUCCUUCAGAUGUCAG
rnacentral:lncRNA from 10 species